GGGCGGCUCAUCUGCACAGCGCAACCUUGCCGGCCCCAGACCCUGCCCCGCCCGACCCCGCCCCGCCCCGCCCGACCCCGCCCCGCCGCGGGAGCGCGCCACUCGCCCGCGCAGCAGGGCCUCAGUAGCGCUAGGCGCGCGUCUUCCGAAAGCCCGACCGAGGCCGGCGUGGGCGAGGCCUGGCUACAGGCUGACGCACCGCUGGAGCUACUGACCUCGGGACGACUGGCGGACGGUCGCAGGCCUGGAGACCCAGAGCGAGACGGCCGACUUCCUUCUCGAGCCAGCAGAACGGGUUGAAUGUGUCGACACCUCCAGCCGCCAGAGUCAGCGGCGCGGGCGUGUUGGAGCCGGCUGGUGGGCGCGGUCAGAAUCCUCGGAGGAGGCGGCCAGACCCGGAGCGGCAGCGCCGUGGAGGCGGAGUCGCAGGCGCGGGUCGGGCCUGGCUGGGGCGGAGCGCGGCCCCGGAGAAAGCGGCGGCCUCGGGACAGGAGGGACCCGGGAGAAGCCCCCCUGGGGCGGCUCCGCAUGUCGGGGUCGCGCCUCUAGGCGACCUUGGUAGAGGGGCUCCUUUGCGCCGAGAUCGCGACCCUCGAGGGAGCCACGGCCCGGUGAUCCACGCUGCCCGUCCCGGCCAUUGGCUGCGCCUUUGUUUCGUGGGACCCCAGCCCGCAAGGCCUGCAGAGCUGCGGACCCAGCUCUCAUCGCGGACCCAGCUGCUCCCGCGUCCAUUCUGCGGCCAAGACACCCGAGCGCCGCCCGGAGCCCCGGUACUGAGGGGCGCAGGCCGAGUUCCAGACUAGCCUGGGAAACGCAAAGCGACCCCACCUCCACAAAAGUGGGUUUACUUUAAGUUUUUGACUAGUCCCCAGUUCACAAAAUUGACAUUUUGGCAGAUGAAGAUUGCAAGGAAACUGACGGUACGUCAGAUUUGUUCUUUAGCAAUUUGCUAAACCUCUUCUCUGACUGCCUUUAUUAUGUAUUUAUUUUCCAGACAAGGUCUUACUCCGCUGCUUAGGCUGCACUGCAGUGGCGUGAUCCCAGCUCACUGCAGCCUCCAACUCUCGGACUCCAGCGAUCCUCCCGCCUCGCCUCCCAAGUAGCUGGGACCACAGGCGCCAGCACGCCUGGCUUAUUGUUUUAUUUUAUGUAGAGAAGAGGUCUCC
rnacentral:lncRNA from 1 species